CACUUUUAUUAAAUUGGUUGAGAUUUUACUUUCUCCUCUCCUUUCACUAGACAGCAGUUUUUCAUUCUGAGCUUAGUGAGCGAGCAGAAGCCGAGACAGGAGGACUUUCAGACGCGGGACUCACUGUGAGCAGAAGCCGUGACAGGAGGACAUUCAGACGCGGGACUCACUUGGAGACAGCAUUUGAUAAUUCUGAGCUUAAUGAGCGAGCAGAAGCCGAGACAGGAGGACCUUCAGACGCGGGACUCGCUGUGAGCAGAAGCCGAGACAGCAAGACUUUCAGACGCGGGACUCACUACAGCACUUUUUCAUUCUGAGCUUAAUGAGCGAGCAGAAGCCGAGACAGCAGGACCUUCAGACGCGGGACUCGCUGUGAGCAGAAGCCGAGACAGGCGCACUGCCAGACGCGGGAAUCACUGUGAGCAGAAGCCGAGACAGGAGGACCUUCAGACGCGGGACUCGCUGUGAGCAGAAGCCGAGACAGGAGGACCUUCAGACGCGGGACUCGCUGUGAGCAGAAGCCGAGACAGCAAGACUUUCAGACGCGUGACUCACUGUGAGUCCACAGACGGGAAAAUGUUUCCCCUUGGUCACAGACUGUUUCCAUACAUCCCUACAGUUCAUGAAAAUUAGAAUUGGACCAAUAUUCAUAGUAAAGUGACUGA